AAGGCAACAGUGAUUGGAAGCUUUAAACUGUGGCCUGCAAAGAUAAAUCAAGAAUUUGGAGAAAAAGAGGUGUCCAUCCUGAUCGCACAUUAUGAACCGUUAUUGGCAGCUGCCAACGUGCAAAUCAAUGAAGUGCUCACUGAGUGGAGCAUGUUGAAAUUAGAGAUUUAUGCCAGAUUUCAGAACAUCCACAAAUUGACCUGGGAAUUUG